AUGGUCAGCAGAAGACCACGAGGAACACGUGACAGAUUCGUCCUUUGGCUAACAGGUGAAGGUGCUUUCCUUGAACUGGUUAAACCCACGCGCAUGGCUGGGGUUGUAAACUGUGCGGCGAUUAGCCGGUCCCCCAUUAGAUUACAGCUCGGGCAGUGGUGCAGGAGGAGGAACCUGCGUGCCCCUCCCUCCCCUCCUCCUUGUACUUGCCACUGGCUCGUGGCCACCCAGUUUCUGGAGGAUGAAGUAAAAUAGCCAUUGCUACAUUAAUUUUGGAGUAGGUGGUCAUCCCUCUCAAGAAAUAAUAACAACAACAGCAGCAGCAGCACUUCUUCAUUUGCAAGCUCCUUGAGAGCAGGGACUUUUAAAAAAUUCAUUAUAAAUUGUAUUCCUGGUGCCUAACACAGGGCUUGGCAUGUAGUAGAUAGAAU
rnacentral:lncRNA from 1 species